GGCGAACGGGUGAGUAACACGUGAGUAACCUGCCCUUGGCUUUGGGAUAACUUCAGGAAACUGGGGCUGAUACCGGAUAGGAGCUCCUGCUGCAUGGUGGGGGUUGGGAAAGGUCUCGGCGGCUGGGGAUGGACUCGCGGCUUAUCAGCUUGUUGGUGGGGUAGUGGCUUACCAAGGCUUUGACGGGUAGCCGGCCUGAGAGGGUGACCGGCCACAUUGGGACUGAGAUACGGCCCAG
rnacentral:rRNA from 1 species